GUUGUGGCGGUUGCUGGUCAGUAACAGCCAAGAUGCUGCGGAAUCUGCUGGCUCUUCAUCAGAUUGGGCAGAGGACCAUAAGCACUACUUCCCGCAGGCAUUUUAAAAAUAAAGUUCCAGAGAAACAAAAACUGUUCCAGAAGGGUGAUGGAAUUCCACUGUAUCUAAAGGGUGGGAUAGCUGAUGCCCUCCUGCAUAGAGCCACCAUGAUUCAUACAGUUGGUGGAACAGCAUAUGCCAUAUAUCAGCAGGCUGUGGCUUCAUUUCCCAAGAAGCAGCAGUGACUUCAAUCAUCCCAGCAAUCACUUGGUUCACAUUCAUUCAGCUCUCUAUGGACCAGUAAUCUGAUAAAUAACUGAGCUCUUCUU